GGUUGGUCCGAGUGCAGUGGUGUUUACAACUAAUUGAUCACAACCAGUUACAGAUUCCUUUGUUCCUUCUCCACUCCCACUGCUCCACUUGACCAGCCUUAA
ensembl:misc_RNA Y_RNA Y RNA